CUGUUGGCUCAGGGGUAAAGAAUCUACCUGCCAAUGCAGGAGACCCUAAGUUUGAUCCCUUAGUUAGGAAGAUCCCAUUGAGAAGGAAAUGGCAGCCCACUCCACUAUUCUUGCCUGGGAAAUCCCAUGGACAGAGGAGCCUGGUGGGCUACAGGGUCCUCUGUCCAUGGGGUCACUAAAGAAAAACAC